AAUGGGUCAGCGACUUAUAUUCUGUAGCAAGGUUAACCGAAUAGGGGAGCCGGAGGGAAACCGAGUCUUAAUUGGGCGUUAAGUUGCAGGGUAUAGACCCGAAACCCGGUGAUCUAGCCAUGGGCAGGUUGAAGGUUGGGUAACACUAACUGGAGGACCGAACCGACUAAUGUUGAAAAAUUAGCGGAUGACCUGUGGCUGGGGGUGAAAGGCCAAUCAAACCGGGAGAUAGCUGGUUCUCCCCGAAAGCUAUUUAGGUAGCGCCUCGUGAAUUCAUCUCCGGGGGUAGAGCACUGUUUCGGCUAGGGGGCCAUCCCGGCUUACCAACCCGAUGCAAACUGCGAAUACCGGAGAAUGUUAUCACGGGAGACACACGGCGGGUGCUAACGUCCGUCGUGAAGAGGGAAACAACCCAGACCGCCAGCUAAGGUCCCAAAGUCAUGGUUAAGUGGGAAACGAUGUGGGAAGGCCCAGACAGCCAGGAUGUUGGCUUAGAAGCAGCCAUCAUUUAAAGAAAGCGUAAUAGCUCACUGGUCGAGUCGGCCUGCGCGGAAGAUGUAACGGGGCUAAACCAUGCACCGAAGCUGCGGCAGCGACGCUUAUGCGUUGUUGGGUAGGGGAGCGUUCUGUAAGCCUGCGAAGGUGGCCUGUGAGGGUUGCUGGAGGUAUCAGAAGUGCGAAUGCUGACAUAAGUAACGAUAAAGCGGGUGAAAAGCCCGCUCGCCGGAAGACCAAGGGUUCCUGUCCAACGUUAAUCGGGGCAGGGUGAGUCGACCCCUAAGGCGAGGCCGAAAGGCGUAGUCGAUGGGAAACGGGUUAAUAUUCCCGUACUUGGUGUUACUGCGAAGGGGGGACGGAGAAGGCUAUGUUGGCCGGGCGACGGUUGUCCCGGUUUAAGCGUGUAGGUGUGUGUUCCAGGUAAAUCCGGUUCACUUUAACACUGAGGCGUGAUGACGAGGCACUAC
rnacentral:rRNA from 1 species